AUGUUUAAAAGUAGAACAAUCCAUACUUAUCACAGUGAAGGUGCAGGUGGUGGCCAUGCUCCAGACAUAAUCAAAGUGUGUGGUGAAAAAAAUGUCUUACCAUCGUCGACAAACCCAACACGACCCUUUACUUCUAAUACUGUAGAUGAGCACCUUGACAUGUUGAUGGUCUGUCAUCAUCUCGAUAAAAACAUU